CUGUAAUAGUGCUGACAUAUUUCAGCUGAAUUGCACUUUUUUGUAUCAUAUCAUAAAUGUAGUGAUAAUGAGAUUCCACAUGUUUUGACCUGUCAUAAAACACAUGAUUAACAAACAUCUUAAUACAAUUUUGAUUGUCACAAUUAAUGACUGUGGGUUCCCAAGGUUGCCCAAACAACCUAGCAAGAAGCUUUGUGAAGCCACAUUGCUUCACACUUGACGCAAUGUACUCAACUUCCGUUGUACUCAAUGCAAUUGAGGACUGAUACUUGUUGGCACAAGAGAUCAUGACUGAACCCAACUUGAAACAGAUUCCUAAAGUGUCCUUCCCGUCAGUAAUACAUUCUUCCCAAUCCGAAUCAAAGUAGCCUUCCAAGGAAAUGACAGUGUUGAUUGGAUACUUCAGCCUGUAGCCAACUGUUUCUCGCAAAUAUCUCAGGAUAUCCUUGGUUGGAACAAGACAAACAUGCUUAGGUUUGUUCAUGAACUGGCUGAGGGCACUCACUGCAUAACAAAUAUUAUGUCUAGUGUUAACUAGAUGCAUUGAGGAUCCAAUCAACUACCUGUACUUCGAUGGAUCUGCAAAAUCAGAGUUAGCUGUAGAUAAACUCAAUUUCUAUAGGAGCAGACAUAGGUUUGCAAUCCAUCAUAUCAAUGUCAUAUUGUUCUUGACUAAGGAUAAGAUCUUUGCCAUACUUCUAGUCCUAGACAGUAAUGCAUUAGGCCUAGAUCCUUCAUUCCAAAUUCAGUGGCUAAUUCUUUCUUACAUCUAAUGAUGAGACUAUCUCCAACAGUUAGAAAUAAAUCAUCCACAUAUAAAAAAAACAGAAUUAGCAUUUCACUAUUGAAUACUUUUAAAGUAAAGGUUAGAAUCAACAUCAUUCUUGCAAGAUCCUAAACUAAUCAAAUACUUAUCAAUCCUUUUUGUAUAGAGCUUUCUUCAAUCUGCACACAUAAGAUUCUCUAUCUUGAAUCUCAUAUUCUUCAGAUUAUUCAAUUAAGAAAAGUAUUCUUUAUAUCCAACUUCCAGCCUUUAGCUACAACAUUAGCUAUAAUGAUUCUAAUAUUGGUAUAUCUAGCAACAGGAGCAAGUGUUUCCUUGUAACCAAGAGCUAUACAUCUAGCUUCAUAUUUCUCAAUACUUCUAUUAACACAAUUACUGAAGAUUGUAGGGAACAUGGAACUUCCUUAAAAUAAGAUUGUGAUAAGAAUCAACUAAUGAAAGCGACCAACUAAGUUUCCAUAAAAAAUGAGAAAUGCCAAUCUUUUCCUUACUUCACUUUUAUGAAAUGGACCCAUAGCACAAUCCUUAUGAUAAUGGCAUACCUUCAAGUGAAUGAACUGAGAGUUUGUAUAGACUCUUAUUACCAAGCCCCCUCUGAAGCUUGAAGGCAUGAUAGUUCAAGACUAUCUUGAAGAGAAGUAUCAAUGUUAGGAUCAAACAUGAUUCAAUAUCCCAAUAGAAUGAAUUAACAAGAAAAUUCAUGAACAUGUAAGAUAACUUAUCUCUUUAUUGACUAGACUUCCACCAUUGAUAACAUAUGCAAAGAUUGCUCAAAACAGUUAGUAUAACACAAGGAUUUUGUACAUUGCUAGUCCAAAGAAUAUGAUCAACUUCACUCACUACACAACAUUCUUUAAUGUAAAAAUUGUUUUCCAUAACAAAGAGAUAGCCAUGCCUAAUCUGAUCAGAAAAUUAAGGCAAGUGGAUGCCUUCAAAAAAAUUUGACAAUCUAACAUAAUACAAAAUCCAUAAGCAAGGUAUAUAAGCCAAAUUGCCUUUCCAGCCAGUGCGUAAAAUCAAAUAUGAGUAUCAACCACUCAAAAGAUACACAAUGUAGUUGAACACAAACAUGUGAUCAAAAGAACUAAGUUAGAUACCUCAUUGAUCUUAGGUUUCAUCAUCAAGAGAAUAUUUACUUCAAAACAAUGUAAUAGGCAGUAUGCUCAAGUUGAAGAGAUAAUAUCACAAUGAAUAUCAUGUGAGGAUAGUGAAAGCCAUGACAAAAAAUGCAUUAGAGCUAAAGGCAAUCCUCUACACAAGAGAGUAUAGCAAAGUAUAACAAAGAUCAUGAGAUCUUUACGAAGAGUUGAUGAGAACCAAGAGUUGCACAGUCACAACCCUACAUGACAACCUUAUCCAAACAUAAAACACUCAGAGAGCAGAAAUACAGUCCAUACGAUGUUAAAAGAUUUGAUGCAAAUCAAGAGACACACCAUAAGAGUAUAUAAUUCCAGAGCAGCAAGACUAUUGAGCAUUUCAAGACAGAUAGAAUACGGUGCAUCAGAACUACGCAUCAAGUAUCAUAAAGGAUCAGAUCACAAUAUGAAGAUAGUAAGGCCAUCAUUAGGCAUAGCUAUUGAAUAGGAUGACUAAGGCAUCUUACUUUUACAUGCCUAUCACACCAAUGAUUAAAGGACACUAUUCAUUAUAUGUUUUCAAUUAAUGUUCCAUAUUUCUAAAUCUCCUAUAAAUUUCAUUCAUCUUUCAAUCUUAUGCUUGCUGGUGUAUCUGUCAGGAUACUCCUAGUUUUAUAUCUAAAACAGAUGCUGAUAAUAUUAAGUGUCAAGGAUGAUAUAUUCAGAUCAAUGCAUCAAUUUGGAUCAUCACAUAUUCAUAGCAAAUCACAUCAAGAAGGAUGAGAGAUAAACAUACUCAAAAUAGAGAGUAAGACAAUCCGAAUACCAACUUCAACAAUCUGAACUAAGGAUUAGAACAAAUUCUUAAAGCAAGAACAAAGCUUGAACUAGGCUGAUAGUUACAAGCCUUAGGAUGACAAUUAUAUAGUCCUUAAUGGAAUAAAAGAAAUACGUAAGAUCUGAAGCUAGAAGGAAACAAUUGCACAAACCAACAUAUGAAGGCACUCUCUGAUGAAAUAGUUAACAAGCAAGAGAACCCUAUGCACUAGUUAAGAUCCCAAACUAAGGUUGUAAAAAGACAACUAGUACAAAUAACGACAAGGCAGGCAGAUACAAGUCUCCAAAACUUUCUUAACAGAGGUAAGCAAUGAGGGUAGAGGAGUAAGAACAACUGUAUACAAAGAUUGAAUCCUUCAUAUUCUUGUUAUUGCCCCAUCGGUGCCCUCAAUUUGACAAGCAGAUAUAUUGUCUAGAUUCGUUGCUGAUUCAUGCCAGCCCUAGUCAUGCAAAAGAAGUAAUACAAGAUCUACCUUCAAGCUGUUAGGCUUUAUAGAAGGAACUUGCUCUGAUACCAUGUUAAUUUUAGAACUCAGAUUAAACAGUAAACAACAGAAAUCAGAAUGCAAUGAAGAACAAACACAAAACACACAGAUACCCUAGGAAAACCUCCCUCUUGGAGGUGGAAAACCCAGCCACUAAUCUCAGAUCUUUAUUGGGCAACACCAAUUUAAUUUACAAUGAGCUUCACUCUUUAACAACAACCUAAUCAUAGUUAUACUUCUAACCUAGGGCAUGCUGAAAUGAUGAACUUAUUUGCAAUACAAAAGUUGUUGUCUCAGGGAUGAAGUUUGCUGAUCCUAGAAUGGUGUUCACAGCCUUCAAGAAUAGUUCGCUGAUCUUCAAAUGAUGACUGCUGCCACUUGAAACCAGUUCGCAGUCACUAAGUGGUGUUCGCUGUCUUCUAGAUGAUGGUUGCUAUCUUCAAGAAGAAUUCGCUGAUCUCUUAGAAGGAUUCGCUGAAUACUUAGAUUACUUGCAGAUUAGAGAAGUAAUUCACUUGAGUGUGUUGUAUCAUACAAUGAUUGAUAGCCUUGUAUAUAUAGGAGACACGGCCUUUUAAUUCUCUCAAGUCGGCUUCUAUGAAGAACAUAUUUAAUUACAAUUCAAUGCUUUAAGGUUGGCGCCAAAACUGAAAUAGCCCUUACGUUACAAGUGAUUUUAAUAUAGGUCAGCUCCAACACGUUUUAAUACAAGUUACAUUCAAUAGGCCUUGUCCUAUCCACAAGUUACAUUAUAUAGGUCUUGCCCUAUCCACAAGUUACAUUAUAUAGGUCUUGCCCAAUAUUCAUAGCAAGCUAUAAUUACAUGUAAUCCAAACUUAGCUAUAAUUUCAACAAAAAGUAUUUCCCAAAAAACAUCUGUGCGAGUGUGAGCUAUGUGAGUAAAAAGAACUCCCUCGUAAAUGAAACUCCCAUAGAAUACGAUGGAGCAAAAGAAAACCAAUCCUCCCCAAAAUGGCAUUACCUUCUUGAAACUUAAGUGACAUGUAUAAAAUGCUUACGGGGUGGUAGAAAGAAUGUAAUGCCCCACCUCUUAAAAUAAGAAUGCAAAGCUUCUGCAACAAAGGCUGUUAGCUAAUUUCUCCUUAAAUGCAUAUUAUAUAAAAUAUCUAAGUUGCUGGUCUCGGUUCUGAUUCGGAUUCUGGUUCUCAAAUUCGUUCAAAUUUUUUUUGGGGUGGGUUUGAGUUCACUUUGGGUUUGUCCGUACAAAAACAUAUAAAAAUAAAAAAUAUAUACAUAUAUGCAGCAGCAAAUAAAUUCAUAAUACAUUAUUGCCAAGUGUCAACUAUGCUAAUAGACUAAUAGUAAAGUAACAUAGCAAAAUACGCCACCAUAUAUAUAUUAAUGUUUUAGUCCAAAUGGCAAAUAACAUAGCAAAAUGCCAAAAUACACCACCUUAUCAAUGUUUCAGUUCAAAAAUAAUAUUGUCAAUACUAACAAUCAGCCAUCCCUAAUCAAAUAUCAUCAAAAGUCAUCAAACAUAUAAUCAAAAUAGGCAAUAAAAAAAUAGAAAAAAACGUGUUUAGCGCCCAAAAUCGGCUUGGGUUCUGCUGCUAAAUUUGAAAUUCACUCCGAAGUCCCCAAAAUUCUUCUUGGGUCCUUCUCAAUGAACCCAUAAGGCAAAUUUGGGACCCUAGAAGAAUUUGCAGUGAAUUUGUAAAGGACCAGAAUUUUUGUAGAACCGAAGCAAGACCCUGGGGAAUUCUAGAAGAAUCUGGCAACAUAGAGAUUUUAAGAAAAUAAUUUAUAGUCAAGCCUUAGAAGUAAGCUUGAGCUAGCUGAAGAAGUUGGUAACCAAAGAGACAUCACUCGGGUGGGUAGUGAUUCCGUUUGGGUCAAGGGACAAAAAGCAAUGAGCUUGUCCUCAAUUGUCACCAUCUCAUGAAGGUCAUUAUUGACUGCUAUAAACUUAUAUGUUAGUAGACAUCAUACAGUUGAAGAUACCUAAAAGAUUAAUAAGGUCAAUGACCAACUCUAAAUGAGCAACAUUCUUUUCUAAUGAUCAAUAAAGGUUAUUUGUCUUGAUCUGUUAUGAAAUAGUGGGUCUUUUAAAUAAGUACUAAUCAAUGAAUAAUUAUCUCAGUUGAAUGGUCUCGAGAAGUCAAGAAGGUAGAAUAUCCAUGUUUAGUUGAAAGGUGAAAAUGUUAACUUACUUUCCUAUGAUGGUCGUUAUGACCAUUGGUGUCAAUAGACAUUAAGCAGAUGGAUUGUCUAGUGGGUUAUUAUCCUAUGAUGAUCAUUCAUGACCAUUAUUAUCAGUAAACAUUGAACAUUUGUUGGUUAGUAAACCAGUGGUUUAAAUGGGAUCAAGUGAAUGUUACUGUCCUAAGAAGGUCAUUGUAGACUGUUAAUGUCAAUAUACAUGAGACAAAUUGCUAAUUAAAUAGUUAAAGAGCCAGUGGGUCAGUUUUACCCAAAUGUUGUGUUCAGUGAGUCAGUUGAAUUCUUGUAUGUACAAGUCUAGCAAGGGCGGUGGAUGUUGACAAUGUGUUAAAUGUGCUUGCAAUGUUAAAACCUUGGCCAAGGUGGUGCUACAUUGUGUAUGUGACCGUCAGUUCACAUGAACCAGAUACACCUACUAGUUAAACUGGUCAUACUAGUUACAAGAUACCUAUAGUGUGUGACCGACUAGAAGCGUGUAGGUUCUAAACACCAAGCUUAGAUGGCAAGAUGGCAACUACGACUCAUCCUUAGUCUGCACCCUCAUGUAGGGUUGGGCCCUUUCUGGUAGGAAGGAGCACAAGAGACUGCCAAGUUUGUGGUUGGGUGAAAAAGCCCUUGAUGAUGCUCUUCCUCACUUAGACUAUGUUGAGGCUUGUACCAAAUAUUCGUUCAAUGGAGGUGAAAAGAUAGAACUGAGUUUGAGAAAUUAGAAUAGAGUUGAAGAUCUAAGCAAGGAGGCUAGAUUUGAGUGUGAAUCCAAAUAAUGGAGAUCUGGUGUCCAAAGAUGCAUUAGUGAGGAUUGGACCAUGCAUUGCUUGCUGUGUAGGCAAUAGAUUGAAGACUUGCAGUAACGCUUAAGAGUACAAAAGUAUUUUGUAAUCCAUGUGUGAAGUAGGAGCGAGUUUCUAGUGAAGCCCAUUGUAUUGGAUUGUAAGACCUUUCAGUUUGUGAUUGUUUUAGCCUUUUAGGCUUUAAGGCCUAACUGUAAUGCCUAGCAGCUCGAUGUAAUUACUGUAGAUAAAUAAAGACAUCAUUAUCUCUA